UGAAGAAACUGUUGUACAAUUUUUUUUCACAAUGACGUUACUCCUUUAUCUUAGUCUAUGCAAUUGCUUAUAAAUAUAACCUAAAUGAAUUUCUGCUUUCCUUAAAAAAGCCUGUUUGUUAUAUUAAGGAAGUUACUCUUUGUGUCUCUUAUUUAUUAUAAAAAUGUUUAAUCCCUUUCAAUGUUAGGAUAAGGAUUCCCAUGUGACAAGAUAAUACAGAGUUACCUUACUAACCAGUUAGACCAGAUCAUUGAUUUUCUAGACUGAACAGCCCCAGUUACGUGUCCCGGUGUAAAAGGCAAAGUAUCCCCGGUUGGCUGUCUAAGCAAAGCAGGUAAA